UACGGAGGGUGCGAGCGUUGUCCGGAAUCACUGGGCGUAAAGGGCGCGUAGGUGGCUCGGCAAGCGUGCGGUGAAAGUUCGAGGCUCAACCUCGAAUCGGCCGUGCGAACUGCCAGGCUUGAGCACUGUAGAGGCAGAUGGAAUUCCGGGUGUAGCGGUGGAAUGCGUAGAGAUCCGGAAGAACACCGGUGGCGAAGGCGGUCUGCUGGGCAGUUGCUGACACUGAGGCGCGACAGCGUGGGGAGCAAAC
rnacentral:rRNA from 1 species